AUUGAACGCUGGCGGCAGGCCUAACACAUGCAAGUCGGGAGAGCGGCGGACGGGUGACUAAUGUAUGGGGCCUGCCAGAUUGUGGGGGAUAACUACUGGAAACGGUGGCUAAUACCGCCUACUAUCCGAUACCCCAUAGGGGAUUAGCUAGUGGGUGGGGUAAAGGCUCACCUAGGCGACGAUCCCUAGCUGGUCUGAGAGGAUGAUCAGGCAAACGGGAACUGAGACAAGGCGCCGAAUACUAUGGAGUCAGUAGGUGGGAAGAAGGAACAAUGGGCGAAAGUCUGAAGAAGCGAAGCCGCGCGUGGUAGGAAGUCCAUAGGGUUGUAAAGCACUUUUAGUUGGGAGGCGUAAGAUUUUGAAGAAGAACCGGCUAAUUCCGAGCCAGCAGCCGCGGUAAUAC
rnacentral:rRNA from 1 species